rnacentral:sRNA from 1 species
AGUCUCGUUAAGGAAAUUUUUACGCGUCCGGUUUAGGUUUUGCUUAUCCAGUUUGCGCUGGAGUUUUUCAGAGCGGUUCCUUCCCUCUGUUUGACGCCUCCCUGUUAACUUUCGAGAGCCGUUCGCUUGACGGCUCUUUUUUC